rnacentral:lncRNA from 1 species
AAACUUGCUGUUCACAGUGUAAAACAUGCAACUCUUUACCCUACUUCUGCUUUUCGGCUGAGGAGCACGGCUGAGGGCGGCUGCACCUUGCGCAUUUUAACCUGUCCGCGCACAGAGGUGGUUCUGCUUUCCCAGCCGUUGGGUCUAAAGUUUGUGCUCCCCAUUAACGCGAGGGCGGUAGAGCAUUUAUUAGAGCACGUCGUGGUCUCUGGGCUCCCUCCCCACAGGCUUCUGCAAGCAGGUUUCAGCCGGGGGCCUUGGGAGCCGGACCCGGUCACCGAUCUAGCUAAACAUCUGCAAAAAGAGAGACAGACAGAAGAAAUCCAAGCGCUUCCAGGGAAACCUCAACUUUCGCCGAGGCCGAGGCUAGUGGCCGACCUCUACCGCCUCGCAGAGCGACGAGUAGGAGGGGAAGCUCCCCCUGGUCUUGGGCUUCUUCCUCGGGCCCGUGGAGGCAGCCAGGAGCUUGUUCAAGGAGGACGGCUUCCUCAGGCCCUUGGUGAGGUCGUAGAARGCCAUGUCGUCCGAUAUGACGCCCAGGAAAGUGCUGGUGGAGCUCAGGAUGGAGGCCGCGAUCUUGGUGUUUUUCCGGAUGGGCAGGGAGGGUCCGGCGGCGCUGUGCAGGUCGGGGUCGCCCAGGAGGUGCCGCACGGCGAAGGAGGCCCCGUCCUUCAGGUACUGGUGCGGCUUCUUGCCGCUGUAGUCCCUCAGGUCGGUCUUGGCGUUGUAGCUGCGCACCAGCAUGGUGAUGAUCUCCUCGCGGCCGUGCAUGGCGGCCACGUGCAGCGCCGUGUAGCCGCCGUAGGACUUGGCGUCGACGUUGACGUGGCCGCCGGCCUUGGCCGCCACCUCGAUGAUCUUCCCGGCCAUGUCGCAGUUGCCGCACUUGGCGGCCCAGUGCAGGGCGGUGAAGCCCGACAUGAAGUCGCGGCGGGCCGCCAGCCCGGCGUCGCUCAGCAGCAGCCCGUGCAGCUCCGGCGACCACCGCCCGCCCGCGGCCUUCACCAGCCACCGGUGCUCGGCCUCCUCCAGCGGCACCGCCGCCGUCUCCUCGCCCGCCCGCUGCCCCUUGG